rnacentral:rRNA from 1 species
AUUGAACGCUGGCGGCAGGCCUAACACAUGCAAGUCGAGCGGAUGAAGGGAGCUUGCUCCUGGAUUCAGCGGCGGACGGGUGAGUAAUGCCUAGGAAUCUGCCUGGUAGUGGGGGAUAACGUCAGGAAACGGGCGCUAAUACCGCAUACGUCAUGAGGGAGAAAGUGGGGGAUCUUCGGACCUCACGCUAUCAGAUGAGCCUAGGUCGGAUUAGCUAGUUGGUGGGGUAAAGGCCUACCAAGGCGACGAUCCGUAACUGGUCUGAGAGGAUGAUCAGUCACACUGGAACUGAGACACGGUCCAGACUCCUACGGGAGGCAGCAGUGGGGAAUAUUGGACAAUGGGCGAAAGCCUGAUCCAGCCAUGCCGCGUGUGUGAAGAAGGUCUUCGGAUUGUAAAGCUCUUUAAGUUGGGAGGAAGAGCAGUAAGUGAAUACCUUGCUGUUUUGACGUUACCAACAGAAUAAGCACCGGCUAACUUCGUG